GGAUUUACUGGGCGUAAAGGGCGCGUAGGCGGUGAUGUGAGUGUGAUGUGAAAGCCCCGGGCUUAACCUGGGAAGUGCAUCGCAAACGACAUGACUGGAGUAGAUGAGAGGGUGGCGGAAUUUCCGGUGUAGCGGUGAAAUGCGUAGAGAUCGGAAGGAACGUCAAUGGCGAAGGCAGCCACCUGGCAUCAUACUGACGCUGAGGCGCGAAAGCGUGGGGAGCGAACAGGAUUAGAUACCCUGGUAGUCCACGCUGUAAACGAUGAGAACUAAAUGUUGGAGGGGGAACCCUUCAGUAUUGAAGCUAACGCGAUAAGUUCUCCGCCUGGGAAGUACAGUCGCAAGACUGAAACUCAAAAGAAUUGACGGGGGCCCGCACAAGCGGUGGAGCAUGUGGUUUAAUUCGAUGCAACGCGAAGAACCUUACCUACCCUUGACAUCCUGCGAAUCCCGAUGAGAGUUGGGAGUGCCGCAAGGAACGCAGAGACAGGUGCUGCAUGGCUGUCGUCAGCUCGUGUUGUGAGAUGUUGGGUUAAGUCCCGUAACGAGCGCAACCCUUGUCCUUAGUUGCCAUCAUUUAGUUGGGGACUCUAAGGAGACUGCCGGUGAUGAACCGGAGGAAGGCGGGGACGACGUCAAGUCAUCAUGGCCUUUAUGGGUAGGGCUACACACGUGCUACAAUGGGGCGUACAGAGGGUCGCCAACCCGCGAGGGGGAGCCAAUCUCUUAAAGCGUCUCGUAGUCCGGAUUGGAGUCUGCACUCGACUCCAUGAAGUCGGAAU
rnacentral:rRNA from 1 species